UACAGAGGGGGCAAGCGUUAUUCGGAAUUAUUGGGCGUAAAGGGCGCGUAGGCGGCCUGGCAAGUGGAAGGUGAAAUCCCUCGGCUUAACCGAGGAACUGCCCUCCAAACUGCUUGGCUUGAGACCGGGAGAGGUGAGUGGAAUUCCCAGCGUAGCGGUGAAAUGCGUAGAUAUUGGGAGGAACACCAGUGGCGAAGGCGGCUCACUGGACCGGUACUGACGCUGAGGCGCGAAAGCGUGGGGAGCAAACGGG
rnacentral:rRNA from 1 species